AGAGGCUGGAGUUCACCCUGAAACCUGUUGGUAGGACGUGUGUUGACCCUGGGAGCAGAAGCUGAGGCCCUGGCAGGAGAGGCCCUUUGGGAGCUUGACAGAGCCUGGCCUGGUCCUGCAGGUAAAUGUUUGAUGUCCUUUUGACAAUUUUUCCCUCCUGGUUGUUUGGAAGAAUGAAAACAACAUAACCAGACACAAAGGGCAUAAAAAAUGAAUUGGAAGAUCCUUAACUGGAAGACAAACUACCCUGUCAUUCUAUCUGCACUGAGCAAGAUAAACACAGGAAAAGCCUUUCUAGAUUGAAGUGGCUGAAGACAGCUGAGUACUGAGAUUUCCCUUGACUCCGUGACUGAUCACAGCCAAGCACCUUUUAUAUGACAAAGAUAACUCUGGAGCCUAGCAGAUGGAGCUGCUAAGAAAUACAGAAAUUAUAUCAAGCCAGACUCUCAUCUGGGAUUAUCUGCAUGAGAAGUCCAUUUUGGAUACAGACAUCAUAUUUUCCAUUUAUAAACGUGGUCACAGAAGGUUAACAGUUUAUGCUGAAAUGAAAUGAAGCAGAUAUUUUUGCUCUUGUCACUAGGUGAGGUGGUGGAAUAAAUUAAAAUUUGCAACUCUGCUGGACAGAGCCCAAACAAAAGUCAAAAUGGAUAUAAAGGGGACAUGCAAAGGAAGUUAACAUCCAUAUUCAUGUUAGUAUAGGCAAUGUCAAGAAUCUUAAUGUGUGCAGUUUAUCUUUUGGAGCCCUUUGGACUUUGUAUAUUAGCAGGUGGGAUUUCUAUCACUCCAGUUUUGACUUUUA